rnacentral:rRNA from 1 species
UACAGAGGUGGCAAGCGUUGUUCGGAAUUACUGGGCGUAAAGGGCGCGUAGGCGGUCUUGUAAGUCUUGUGUGAAAUCCCUCGGCCUAACUGAGGAACUGCACGAGAUACUGCAAGACUUGAGAUCGGGAGAGGGAAGCGGAAUUCCGGGUGUAGCGGUGAAAUGCGUAGAUAUCCGGAGGAACACCGGUGGCGAAGGCGGCUUCCUGGACCGACACUGACGCUGAGGCGCGAAAGCUAGGGGAGCAAACGGG